AGUAAUACAUCGGAACAUGUCCAUUCGUGGGGGAUAGCCCGGCGAAAGCCGGAUUAAUACCGCAUACGCCCUGAGGGGGAAAGCGGGGGACUUCGCAAGAGGCCUCGCGCGAAUGGGUUGGCCGAUGUCCGAUUAGCUAGUUGGUGGGGUAAAGGCUUACCAAGGCGAUGAUCGGUAGCUGGUCUGAGAGGAUGAUCAGCCACACUGGGACUGAGACACGGCCCAG
rnacentral:rRNA from 1 species